UACGAAGGGGGCUAGCGUUGCUCGGAAUUACUGGGCGUAAAGGGCGCGUAGGCGGACAGUUAAGUCAGAGGUGAAAGCCCAGGGCUCAACCCUGGAAUAGCCUUUGAUACUGGCUGUCUUGAGUGCGGGGGAGGUGUGUGGAACUCCGAGUGUAGAGGUGAAAUUCGUAGAUAUUCGGAAGAACACCAGUGGCGAAGGCGACACACUGGCCCGUAACUGACGCUGAGGCGCGAAAGCGUGGGGAGCAAACAGG
rnacentral:rRNA from 1 species